rnacentral:rRNA from 1 species
UACAGGGGGUGCAAACGUUGCUCGGAAUUAUUGGGCGUAAAGCGCGCGUAGGCGGCUACUUAAGUCGGAUGUGAAAGCCCUUGGCUCAACUGAGGAAGUGCACCCGAAACUGAGUGGCUAGAGUACGAAAGAGGGUCGCGGAAUUCCCGGUGUAGAGGUGAAAUUCGUAGAUAUCGGGAGGAACACCGGUGGCGAAGGCGGGUCUCUGGGCCGAUACUGACGCUGAGACGCGAAAGCGUGGGGAGCGAACAGG